rnacentral:rRNA from 1 species
CACUGGGGGUGUGGUUAAUAUCAAUGCGCAGCCUAUACAUGCAGUCGAGCGGACUUGAUGAGAAGCUUGCUUCUCAGAUAGUUAGCGGCGGACGGGUGAGUAACACGUAGGCAACCUGCCCUCAAGCUUGGGACAACUACCGGAAACGGUAGCUAAUACCGAAUACUUGCUUUCUUCGCCUGAAGGGAGCUGGAAAGACGGAGCAAUCUGUCACUUGGGGAUGGGCCUGCGGCGCAUUAGCUAGUUGGUGAGGUAACGGCUCACCAAGGCGACGAUGCGUAGCCGACCUGAGAGGGUGAUCGGCCACACUGGGACUGAGACACGGCCCAGACUCCUACGGGAGGCAGCAGUAGGGAAUCUUCCGCAAUGGGCGAAAGCCUGACGGAGCAAUGCCGCGUGAGUGAUGAAGGUUUUCGGAUCGUAAAGCUCUGUUGCCAGGGAAGAACGCUUGGGAGAGUAACUGCUCUCAAGGUGACGGUACCUGAGAAGAAAGCCCCGGCUAACUACGUGCCAGCAGCCGCGGUAAUACGUAGGGGGCAAGCGUUGUCCGGAAUUAUUGGGCGUAAAGCGCGCGCAGGCGGUCAUGUAAGUCUGGUGUUUAAUCCCGGGGCUCAACCCCGGAUCGCACUGGAAACUGGGUGACUUGAGUGCAGAAGAGGAGAGUGGAAUUCCACGUGUAGCGGUGAAAUGCGUAGAUAUGUGGAGGAACACCAGUGGCGAAAGGCGACUCUCUGGGCUGUAACUGACGCUGAGGCGCGAAAGCGUGGGGGAGCAAACAGGAUUAGAUACCCUGGUAGUCCACGCCGUAACGAUGAGUGCUAGUGUUAGGGGUUUCGAUACCCUUGGGUGGCCGAAGUUAACACAUUAAGCCACUCCCGCCUGGGGGAGUACGGUCCGCAGGACUGAAACCCAAAGGAAUUGACGGGACCCGCACAAGCAGUGGGAGUAGGUGGUUAAUUCGAAGCACGCGAAGAACUUACCAGUCUUGACAUCUGAAUGACGGUGGCAGAAAAUGUGCGUUCGUCAGAACGUUCAGAACCGGUGGUGGCAUGCUGUCCGUCAGCUCGGUUCAUGGAAGUUAGGUAAGUUCCGCACCGAACGA